rnacentral:rRNA from 1 species
CCCCUAAGGCGAGGCCGAAAGGCGUAGUCGAUGGGAAACAGGUUAAUAUUCCUGUACUUGGUGUUACUGCGAAGGGGGGACGGAGAAGGCUAUGUUGGCCGGGCGACGGUUGUCCCGGUUUAAGCGUGUAGGCUGGUUUUCCAGGCAAAUCCGGAAAAUCAAGGCUGAGGCGUGAUGACGAGGCACUACGGUGCUGAAGCAACAAAUGCCCUGCUUCCAGGAAAAGCCUCUAAGCAUCAGGUAACAUCAAAUCGU